rnacentral:rRNA from 1 species
UACAGUUUCUGGGCACUCUAACAGGACCGCCGGUGGUAAGCCGGAGGAAGGUGGGGAUGACGUCAAGUCCUCAUGGCCCUUACAGGGUGGGCUACACACGUGCUACAAUGGCGACUACAGAGGGCUGCAAUCCCGCGAGGGGGAGCCAAUCCCUAAAAGUCGUCUCAGUUCGGAUUGCACUCUGCAACUCGAGUGCAUGAAGUUGGAAUCGCUAGUAAUCGCGGAUCAGAUGCCGCGGUGAAUACGUUCCCGGGCCUUGAACACACCGCCCGUC